ensembl:lncRNA
AAAUCAUUCCAGCUCUCCUGGAAGUUGCUGGAUGUGCACCCAGUUCGGGAUGGCUUUCUGCAGGAAUGGGAGGAGGGGAACAAAACGGAGCCUCCCGUGGGUGAUGUCUGCUGGAAAUCCAUCGCAGCCGUCGGUCGGAGGGAUUGGCUGCCAGAGCUAAAGCCACCGCAGCAGGCACGGGGAAAUGGAAUGAUUUGCCCCAAAUUCCAGAUGAAGUCAUUCACAGAGUGAGGGAAACAACCAAGGAGUAAAACAGCGCUGUCAUAUGGUCUCAAGUAAGACGCAUGCUUCUUCAGGCCAAGGACUGCAGGCAG